rnacentral:rRNA from 1 species
CCUACGGGGCGAGCAGGGGCGAAAACUUUACAAUGCGGGAAACCGUGAUAAGGGGACACCGAGUGUCAGCAUCAUAUGCUGGCUGUCCAGGUGUGUAAAAUACACCUGUUAGCAAGGGCCGGGCAAGACCGGUGCCAGCCGCCGCGGUAACACCGGCGGCCCGAGUGGUGAUCGUGAUUAUUGGGUCUAAAGGGUCCGUAGCCGGUUUGGUCAGUCCUCCGGGAAAUCUUAUAGCUCAACUAUUAGGCUAUCGGGGAUCUGCCAGGCUUGGAACCGGGAGAAGGUAAGAGGUACUACAGGGGUAGGAGUGAAAUCUUGUAAUCCCUUUGGGAACACCUGUGGCGAA